GCCUGAUUGGCUCAGUCGGUAGAGCAUGUGACUCUUGAUCUUGGGGUCAUGAGUUCAAGCUCCACAUUGGGCA
rnacentral:tRNA from 1 species